UACUCCCCAGGCGGAGUGCUUAAUGCGUUAGCUGCAGCACUAAGGGGCGGAAACCCCCUAACACUUAGCACUCAUCGUUUACGGCGUGGACUACCAGGGUAUCUAAUCCUGUUUGAUCCCCACGCUUUCGCACAUCAGCGUCAGUUACAGACCAGAAAGUCGCCUUCGCCACUGGUGUUCCUCCAUAUCUCUGCGCAUUUCACCGCUACACAUGGAAUUCCACUUUCCUCUUCUGCACUCAAGUUUUCCAGUUUCCAAUGACCCUCCACGGUUGAGCCGUGGGCUUUCACAUCAGACUUAAAAAACCGCCUACGCGCGCUUUACGCCCAAUAAUUCCGGAUAACGCUUGCCACCUACGUAUUACCGCGGCUGCUGGCACGUAGUUAGCCGUGGCUUUCUGAUUAGGUACCGUCAAGAUGUGCACAGUUACUUACACAUAUGUUCUUCCCUAAUAACAGAGUUUUACGAUCCGAAGACCUUCAUCACUCACGCGGCGUUGCUCCGUCAGGCUUUCGCCCAUUGCGGAAGAUUCCCUACUGCUGCCUCCCGUAGGAGUCUGGACCGUGUCUCA
rnacentral:rRNA from 1 species